UUUUUCGUAGAGUGGCCUGCGGAGGGAUCAUUACACAAAUAUGAAGGCGGGCUGGAACCUCUCGGGGUUACAGCCUUGCUGAAUUAUUCACCCUUGUCUUUUGCGUACUUCUUGUUUCCUUGGUGGGUUCGCCCACCACUAGGACAAACAUAAACCUUUUGUAAUUGCAAUCAGCGUCAGUAACAAAUUAAUAAUUACAACUUUCAACAACGGAUCUCUUGGUUCUGGCAUCGAUGAAGAACGCAGCGAAAUGCGAUAAGUAGUGUGAAUUGCAGAAUUCAGUGAAUCAUCGAAUCUUUGAACGCACAUUGCGCCCUUUGGUAUUCCAAAGGGCAUGCCUGUUCGAGCGUCAUUUGUACCCUCAAGCUUUGCUUGGUGUUGGGCGUCUUGUCUCUAGCUUUGCUGGAGACUCGCCUUAAAGUAAUUGGCAGCCGGCCUACUGGUUUCGGAGCGCAGCACAAGUCGCACUCUCUAUCAGCAAAGGUCUAGCAUCCAUUAAGCCUUUUUUUCAACUUUGACCUCGGAUCAGGU
rnacentral:rRNA from 1 species